GACGAACGCUGGCGGCGUGCUUAACACAUGCAAGUCGAACGGAAAGGCCUUUUCGGAGGUACUCGAGUGGCGAACGGGUGAGUAACACGUGGGUGAUCUGCCCUGCACUCUGGGAUAAGCCUGGGAAACUGGGUCUAAUACCGGAUAGGACCGCACUUUAGUGUGUGUGGUGGAAAGUUUUUUCGGUGUAGGAUGAGCCCGCGGCCUAUCAGCUUGUUGGUGGGGUAAUGGCCUACCAAGGCGGCGACGGGUAGCCGGACUGAGAGGUUGGUCGGCCACAUUGGGACUGAGAGACGGCCCAGACGCCUACGGGAGGCAGCAGUGGGGAAUAUUGCACAAUGGGCGCAAGCCUGAUGCAGCGACGCCGCGUGGGGGAUGACGGCCUUCGGGUUGUAAACUCCUUUCGCCAGGGACGAAGCGUUUUGUGACGGUACCUGGAGAAGAAGCACCGGCUAACUACGUG
rnacentral:rRNA from 1 species